GGCAAGGUGGCCGAGUGGUUAAGGCGGCAGAUUUAAGCAGCGCUACUGUUCACAGUUGGCGUGAAAAACCCUGCUUCGUAAUGAGUCCAGGGUUCGAACCCCUGCCUUGUCA